rnacentral:rRNA from 1 species
CCUACGGGUGGCAGCAGUGAGGAAUAUUGGUCAAUGGCCGAGAGGCUGAACCAGCCAAGUCGCGUGGGGGAAGAAGGUCCUAGGUAUUGUAAACCUCUUUUGUCAGGGAGCAAAGUCACCCACGUGUGGAUUUUGGAGAGUACCUGAAGAAAAAGCAUCGGCUAACUCCGUGCCAGCAGCCGAGGUAAUACGGAGGAUGCGAGCGUUAUCCGGAUUUAUUGGGUUUAACGGGUGCGUAGGCGGGUUAUCAAGUCCGCGGUAAAAUCGUGGGGAUAAACUCCAUCCAGCAUUUGAAACUGAUAGUCUUGAGUGGGAGAGAAGUAUGUGGAAUGCGUGGUGUAGCGGUGAAAUGCAUAGAUAUCAAGCAGAACUCCGAUUGCGAAGGCAGCAUGCCGGAGCAUGACUGACGCUGAGGCACGAAAGCGGGGGUAUCGAACAGGAUUAGAGACCCCAGUAGUC